UACAGAGGGUGCGAGCGUUAAUCGGAAUUACUGGGCGUAAAGCGCGCGUAGGCGGCUUUGCAAGUCGCUUGUGAAAUCCCCAGGCUUAACCUGGGAACUGCAUUCGAGACUGCAUAGCUAGAGUAUGGGAGAGGGAAGUGGAAUUUCAGGUGUAGCGGUGAAAUGCGUAGAUAUCGUAAGGAAGACCAGUGGCGAAGGCGGAUCUCUGGACAGUUACUGACACUGAGGCACGAAGGCCAGGGGAGCAAACGGG
rnacentral:rRNA from 1 species